rnacentral:rRNA from 1 species
AGAGUUUGAUCAUGGCUCAGAUUGAACGCUGGCGGCAGGCCUAACACAUGCAAGUCGAGCGGUAGCACAGAGAGCUUGCUCUCGGGUGACGAGCGGCGGACGGGUGAGUAAUGUCUGGGAAACUGCCUGAUGGAGGGGGAUAACUACUGGAAACGGUAGCUAAUACCGCAUAAUGUCGCAAGACCAAAGUGGGGGACCUUCGGGCCUCAUGCCAUCAGAUGUGCCCAGAUGGGAUUAGCUAGUAGGUGGGGUAACGGCUCACCUAGGCGACGAUCCCUAGCUGGUCUGAGAGGAUGACCAGCCACACUGGAACUGAGACACGGUCCAGACUCCUACGGGAGGCAGCAGUGGGGAAUAUUGCACAAUGGGCGCAAGCCUGAUGCAGCCAUGCCGCGUGUGUGAAGAAGGCCUUCGGGUUGUAAAGCACUUUCAGCGGGGAGGAAGGCGUCAAGGUUAAUAACCUUGGCGAUUGACGUUACCCGCAGAAGAAGCACCGGCUAACUCCGUGCCAGCAGCCGCGGUAAUACGGAGGGUGCAAGCGUUAAUCGGAAUUACUGGGCGUAAAGCGCACGCAGGCGGUCUGUCAAGUCGGAUGUGAAAUCCCCGGGCUCAACCUGGGAACUGCAUUCGAAACUGGCAGGCUAGAGUCUUGUAGAGGGGGGUAGAAUUCCAGGUGUAGCGGUGAAAUGCGUAGAGAUCUGGAGGAAUACCGGUGGCGAAGGCGGCCCCCUGGACAAAGACUGACGCUCAGGUGCGAAAGCGUGGGGAGCAAACAGGAUUAGAUACCCUGGUAGUCCACGCCGUAAACGAUGUCGAUUUGGAGGUUGUGCCCUUGAGGCGUGGCUUCCGGAGCUAACGCGUUAAAUCGACCGCCUGGGGAGUACGGCCGCAAGGUUAAAACUCAAAUGAAUUGACGGGGGCCCGCACAAGCGGUGGAGCAUGUGGUUUAAUUCGAUGCAACGCGAAGAACCUUACCUGGUCUUGACAUCCACAGAACUUUCCAGAGAUGGAUUGGUGCCUUCGGGAACUGUGAGACAGGUGCUGCAUGGCUGUCGUCAGCUCGUGUUGUGAAAUGUUGGGUUAAGUCCCGCAACGAGCGCAACCCUUAUCCUUUGUUGCCAGCGGU